UAGUUGUUGCCAUUGGAUUUCACUCGGAUCCCACCAAAUGACUCCUCCCAUCAUAUUGUGAUGUUCCCCAAGUUUUAGACUCAAUCCGAUAUCGAUUGGUUCAUCAAAUCGGACAAUUCCAGAUUGUACGAAGUUCAUUAUGAAAUGGAGUGAGUGGUGUAUUGUGCUGCUCAAGAGAUUGGAUUUCACACAAAACCCAC
rnacentral:lncRNA from 1 species